AGUUGCAAUCAGAAGUGUAUUAGUUACUCUCUCGAACGCCAGAUGGAGCGUCAGUGUAGAAAAAGGAACAUAUUUCAUUACACAUCAAUAGAAAGUAUUCUUCAACAAUGAAACGCUAAUUUUAAGAACGAAAAUAUAACGUUUGUACCAAAUGAAUAUCGCCCACUGGUUGCUCGCUGGAUUAAAUGGUCUUUGAUGAUUAAUAAACUUCGGGAGACGUUAGCCAGUCAAACUUCUAUUGGUGUUGUUGGACUGAUAAACUCUGGAAAAUCAAAACUUGUUAGCUCAAUGUUUGAAGUAAUGACGGUGACAGGCACCACAGAUCAGAAGCGAACCACCGUUCCGUUGAUUUACAACUUGGAUAAGCACUUAAAAGGUUUAGAUGUCAUUGAUUUUCCUGGUGUGGAUGAUCGUGAUGAGACAAUUCCUGAGUUGGCAAAAUUGUUUUAUUAAGUUUGACUCGGAUUGUUGUAUUUGUUGUUGACUACAGAAAAGCUCAUUCCGAGUCAUCAAAACAAUGGCUUUCCAUACUCGAGAAAGAAAACGUACCUGUUCUUGUUUGUUUAACAUUUGGUGACAGACUUUUUGUUGAAUUAAUGGUUGAAAAGGGAAAUUGUGACGUUGACACGAUAAAAGCGGGCGUGGAAAAUGAAGUGGAAACAAUCAAAAAGAAAAUUGGAUUUCCAGAAAGCAGCCAUCAACGUGAUUUUAAACUGUCAGUGUUGUCCUUUGACUACGAUUCCUACCUCAAUUCUGAGGAGUGGAAAGCAAAGCUGCGUAAAGUUGGUCUUUGUGAUGAACUUGAUGUGGGUCGUUGGAUCGCAGAGAAAUUGGAGGAUCAGUACGAGCUACAUGAUCUCUCACAGACUUUUUUAAAAUAUAUCGAGAACAAAGAAAGCAGCACUUUACAUCUAUGUCUGGUAAUUUAGCUUA